ensembl:lncRNA
UCUGGCCUGCCACGUGGGAGCUUUAUUUUAUUUUCCCUAGUCCCUAAGCAGCAACUUCCCCGGGCCUGCUGAAGCUUGCUUAGCACCCAGAAAAGAGGCCAUGUGCUUGCUUUUCCACUGGGGGCUUGGGCUGAAACUGUGGAUCUUGCUGCUGGGAAACCCCAUCAAGACUGGGGCACCUGAAAGGGUGACCGCAAUGGCCCUCUUACACAGGCAGGCUCAUAGCCUGCCUCUACUCUAACCAUGCCCCCACUUGGACAAAGCCAGGGCAAGAGAACAAAAGAGCAAGCUGCUCCCAUGUACUUGGAAGGACGAGAUAUUCACAUUCCUGUAGCUUCAACAUUUUGAUUUGAAGAAAGGCAGUUUACACAGUGAGCAGAAGACCGGUUUUGGUCACCACCACACACUGCUCUUGCUUGUUUGAAAACCUCAUUGUACUUUGGGGUUAGAGGCUCCAGUGGCCCUGAACACCCCCGCCUAGCCUUAGAGGUCACUGUAGCUUCCUUUUCUCCCCACUCCCACCUUCCUGGCUGCUGGUGCCAGAAACCUUCCACCAAGAGGCACCACUUUCCCCUGUGGCCCUGAAAGCGUUCUGGGAGGGCUGAAGCUGGGGCUCUGAGCCCCUGGAGGCCCAGGCCCAGCUCCUGCAUCACACCCCCUGGCCCCUAGCCGACCUACUUUCUUACCUGACUAGUUUUCUGGACUUGGUUGCCCAUCAGGCCUAGACCCCCUGCCCAGCCUUCCCUACCUGCCCUGCGGCUGAGCAGUGUGUGGGCUGGUGUGGGAGCCUGCCUAGUGAGUGGAGGCCUGGAAAACAGGUGCUGUGUGAACCAAAUUCUCUGUUAGCUGAAAGUGUAAACAACCCUCUUCUUCCUGAAGCCACAGGACAGAAAAGUAGUCAUUGUGAAGGAAAGGACGAUCCCGUGGCUGAGGUCCCUCCCCAAGGGGUCGAGAACAUACAAGCAGGAGACAUACGUAGGCACACACACCCGUGUGCUGCCCUGUGCCAGGUGCAGUAAGGAGCAAGGGUUACAGAAAGAAUGGGACACAGUCCUUGCUCUCAAGGAACUCCCAGUCCUUGGGAAAGGUGUGGCUUACCUUCUUCCAGCGAGCUGAACACCAAGCUCCUUCCCUCCCCGGAGCGGUGGGAUGGGGCUGAUGUAAGUCUUGUUUAGGACAGGCCAGCCAGCCUGCAAGCUGAGGGCUGGGAGUGGGCCCAGAUAACCUCGACUCCACCCUGACUGUUGCCUCCACAACCCACGGCUGAUGCCCUCAUCCCUGGCACCUUGACCUGCCCCAUCUCCAACCUAAGCUACCCAGGUUACCUCAGCAAACCCCCACAGGCAUAGGGGAAUGAGUCAGAGCUCUGGGUCUCUCAUCAACCCUUGGUUCCCACACCCAGGAACCCAGGGACUAAGAUGCAGGUUGGGUGCUUCAGUUGAAAGAGGAGCCACCAGGCCUCUCUAACAAGAGAAAGACAUCUAGAAGCCAGACCUCCAGAGAGAAAAUUUUAUUUAAAGUGUUAGGCAAUUUGAACUCAGUCUGCUGGGAAGGUCACUUUUUCGGCCAAACAAGGUCAGUGAAGAAACUGCUCCUGGGCACUGACACUUUCCUUGUGAAGGGUCCUGCUUUUCGUUUCCUGAAGCGGUUCCGUUUACCCAGGGUCUUUAGAACGGCCAUCCCCGCCACCUCCCCAUACCUCCCACUGGGGGACUGGGGCGGCCCUGGCUACACUCCCAGGGUGAGUCUGGCAGAGCUGGGACAGGCCCCAGAGAAAUGUACUGCAAGUCAGAGCCUGUGCCAGGAUGAGGGGGCCUGCCCACUCCUCCAGUCACCUCCCAGCAAGGGGUUCCCCCAAAGCUCCUCCC